rnacentral:rRNA from 2 species
GAGAGGAUGAUCAGCCACACUGGAACUGAGACACGGUCCAGACUCCUACGGGAGGCAGCAGUGGGGAAUAUUGCACAAUGGGCGCAAGCCUGAUGCAGCCAUGCCGCGUGUGUGAAGAAGGCCUUCGGGUUGUAAAGCACUUUCAGUCGUGAGGAAGGCGGCGUCGUUAAUAGCGGCGUUGUUUGACGUUAGCGACAGAAGAAGCACCGGCUAACUCCGUGCCAGCAGCCGCGGUAAUACGGAGGGUGCGAGCGUUAAUCGGAAUUACUGGGCGUAAAGCGCAUGCAGGUG